AUAUGUAAAGUCUAUACAUUUCAUUUUUGCUCGAAAAGGAGUGGGAAGAAGAAAACGUAUUGAAUCCCACCCCUAUCUUAC